AGGCAGCAGUUAGGAAUCUUAGACAAUGGGGGAAACCCUGAUCUAGCCAUGCCGCGUGAGUGAUGAAGGCCUUAGGGUUGUAAAGCUCUUUCAGCUGGGAAGAUAAUGACGGUACCAGCAGAAGAAGCCCCGGCUAACUCCGUGCCAGCAGCCGCGGUAAUACGGAGGGGGCUAGCGUUGUUCGGAAUUACUGGGCGUAAAGCGCACGUAGGCGGACUGGAAAGUUGGAGGUGAAAUCCCAGGGCUCAACCUUGGGACUGCCUUCAAAACUAUCAGUCUGGAGUUCGAGAGAGGUGAGUGGAAUUCCGAGUGUAGAGGUGAAAUUCGUAGAUAUUCGGAGGAACACCAGUGGCGAAGGCGGCUCACUGGCUCGAUACUGACGCUGAGGUGCGAAAGUGUGGGGAGCAAACAGGAUUAGAUACCCCAGUAGUCC
rnacentral:rRNA from 1 species